CUUUCAUUCGCAUGUAUACUCAUUCCCAAAUCUUCAGAAACCCUAAUACAUUAUUUCCUAAAUGGUAUGGGAUGAAUACUCUCAAGUUUAAUGUCUAUCAACGUGAAUAAAAGAUUGUUGCUUCAAACACAGGUUUUUUUGGAACCGCCAUCGGUUACGUCCCUAAUCGGACUCGAACGCCAAAUAAUCGCCUUUUUCAGCCUAAUUGGACUCCAUCCGUCGUCCGCCGCUGGCCGCCGUCGUUGUUAUACAUUUGCAGUUGCCGCUUAGCGGCUCCAUCUUUAUAAGUGAAAUACGGAACUUUUGUUUUGGAGAUCAAAGGCUCAGUACCAUUUUUUUGCACUUGGAAGGUAUGAUGGUGCCUUUUUUAGUUAUUUUGCACUUAAAAAGCAUCACUUUCACUUAGAAUUGCACAUAUCAAUAUGCCAUCUUUAAAUAACAAAUAUGUUUUUCAUCAUUUUCACUUGAGUCUUUACACGUCUUAAAUUGUUAUUCUCAGAAGAGCCAAAUGGUUGCGAAGGGGCCUGGAUGUGGUAUUAUAUUGAUGAAUCUGCUUACAUUGAUGUUCAUGAAGUAAUUGUGCCCCAAAUGAUACAAAAAAUUGUUUGUUAAUAUCUUACAAGUAGCUUAGAAGGCUGAAUUGAUUGCUGGAUUUCUAUAAAAGGUUGCUCUAAAGAGUGGCUUGCAGGAUAAUAAAUUAAAGGAGAUAGUUAUGAUAAUAUGGAUCAUUACUAAAGCAUCAUUUUAUCUGAUUAAUGUGUGAGAUUAAGUUAUUGUUUUAAUAGAUAAAAUAAAUAAAUUGUUUGUUAAUAUAUUACAAGUAGUAGUAAUCAGUAAUGCAGGGCAUCUGAUUUUACAAGGAUAAUAUCAACAUUGUAGAUUUGUGAGGAUGGCGCCAAGACCAUGUCUACACGUGAAAGGAAGGUUGCCAAAUACUACUUGAAUGAUCUACACAUUUACUUUGUUCAAUCAACAAGUUUAUGAGGAUGGUAGUUAAAAAUUUUGCAUCUGAUGUUUAUAUAUUUUGCAUGAUGACACGUAUUUAAUGAAAUUUGCAGGCAACCUUCAUAACUUUCAAUGCCAAUGCUCUGACUACCCGCACCUAUGUCUGUUGUAGAUAUAUUUCUCCUUAAUAAUCACAAGAAGAUGAAUGCUUAUAAAAGUCCAAUGGUACUCAGGGUAGUUCUGAUGUGGCUUCUAUUGUUGAUGUAUGUUCUGUAAUAGGGAUAAGCAUUUGGUCCCGGGUACUGGUACCGAACCGAACCGGUAUAUUCGGUACCGGUACUGGUACCCAUUUUCUCCAUUUUUCGGUACUGGUACCGGUACGUACGGGUAAAACACCGGUAAAUAC